AGUGAACGCUGGCGGUAGGCCUAACACAUGCAAGUCGAACGGCAGCACAGUAAGAGCUUGCUCUUACGGGUGGCGAGUGGCGGACGGGUGAGGAAUACAUCGGAAUCUACUCUUUCGUGGGGGUUAACGUAGGGAAACUUACGCUAAUACCGCAUACGACCUACGGGGGAAAGCAGGGGAUCUUCGGACCUUGCGCGAUUGAAUGAGCCGAUGUCGGAUUAGCUAGUUGGCGGGGUAAAGGCCCACCAAGGCGACGAUCCGUAGCUGGUCUGAGAGGAUGAUCGGCCGCACUAGAGGUUGACCGCGGUCAAGACUCCUACGAGAGGCCGCAGUGGGGUAUAGUAGACAAUGGGCGGAAGCAUGAUCCAGCGGUACCGAGUGGGUGGAGGAAGCCUUCGGGUUGUGAAGCCCUUUUGUUGGGAGAGAAAAGCAGCAGGUUGAUACCCCGCUGUACUGACGGUAACCAGAGAAGAAGCACCGGCUAACUACGUG
rnacentral:rRNA from 1 species